rnacentral:rRNA from 1 species
CCUACGGGGGGCAGCAGUCGAGAAUUAUUCACAAUGGGGGAAACCCUGAUGGUGCGACGCCGCGUGGGGGAAUGAAGGUCUUCGGAUUGUAAACCCCUGUCAUGUGGGAGCAAAUUAAAAAGAUAGUACCACAAGAGGAAGAGACGGCUAACUCGGUGCCAGCAGCCGCGGUAAUACAGAGGUCUCAAGCGUUGUUCGGAAUCACUGGGCGUAAGGCGUGCGUAGGCUGUUUCGUAAGUCGUGUGUGAAAGGCGCGGGCUCAACCCGCGGACGGCACAUGAUACUGCGAGACUAGAGUAAUGGAGGGGGAACCGGAAUGCUCGGUGUAGCAGUGAAAUGCGUAGAUAUCGAGAGGAACACUCGUGGCGAAGGCGGGUUCCUGGACAUUAACUGACGCUGAGGCACGAAGGCCAGGGGAGCGAAAGGGAUUAGAUACCCGAGUAGUC